rnacentral:lncRNA from 1 species
GGGAGAGCUACAUGUGAAUACACCUUGCGAAGCAUAAGCACAUCCUGGCCACGGAUCAAGUUUGAAUCUGCUGCUUCAGUCUCCUCUGACAUCCUAAAUCGACUUGGCCCUGGCAACCACCAUUCUACCUUCUGUCUCUAUGGUUUUGACUACUCUUAAGCCUCUCACGAUGAAGAGCUAGUAUCUUACUCCGCCUCCUUCCUGUGGUGAGAGGUAACAGAAGAAAUAACGCUUCUGAAACGUUUCCUAAAUUAAGUUCAGCUAAUCUCACUUAAUUUCCUCUCAUGUAAAAUGUUUUCUGUUUACCAAUUAAAUUUGUUUGCCUUCUUUAGC